AUUAUGGCUCAGGAUGAACGCUGGCGGUAUGCUUAACACAUGCAAGUCGAACGGAAUGCUUAGGCAUUUAGUGGCGGACGGGUGAGUAACGCGUGAGAAUUUGGCUUCAGGUCGGGGACAACAGUUGGAAACGACUGCUAAUACCGGAUAUGCCGGAAGGUGAAAGGCUUGCUGCCUGAAGAUAAGCUCGCGUCUGAUUAGCUAGUUGGUAGUGUAAGGGACUACCAAGGCGACGAUCAGUAGCUGGUCUGAGAGGAUGAUCAGCCACACUGGGACUGAGACACGGCCCAGACUCCUACGGGAGGCAGCAGUGGGGAAUUUUCCGCAAUGGGCGAAAGCCUGACGGAGCAAUACCGCGUGAGGGAGGAAGGCUCUUGGGUCGUAAACCUCUUUUCUCAAGGAAGAAAAAAAUGACGGUACUUGAGGAAUAAGCAUCGGCUAACUCCGUGCCAGCAGCCGCGGUAAUACGGAGGAUGCAAGCGUUAUCCGGAAUGAUUGGGCGUAAAGGGUCCGCAGGUGGUACUGUAAGUCUGCUGUUAAAGAGUCUGGCUCAACCAGAUAAAAGCAGUGGAAACUACAGAACUAGAGUGCGUUCGGGGCAGAAGGAAUUCCUGGUGUAGCGGUGAAAUGCGUAGAUAUCAGGAAGAACACCGGUGGCGAAAGCGUUCUGCUAGGCCGCAACUGACACUGAGGGACGAAAGCUAGGGGAGCGAAUGGGAUUAGAUACCCCAGUAGUCCUAGCCGUAAACGAUGGAUACUAGGCGUGGCUUGUAUCGACCCGAGCCGUGCCGGAGCUAACGCGUUAAGUAUCCCGCCUGGGGAGUACGCACGCAAGUGUGAAACUUAAA
rnacentral:rRNA from 1 species